UAGUGUAGAGAGGGACCUCCCAGAA
rnacentral:piRNA from 1 species